rnacentral:lncRNA from 1 species
ACCUACCCGAGUUUCGUCUCUGGAAGGGACUUUCGGCCGCCGAAGGUGCCGCCGAAAGUGCCCUGUCCAGCCGUUUCUUGGGUGUUUUCCAUGCAUGUUUAAGUGAUGUUUAGAGGGGUUUUUGGGGAGUUGUUUAUGAGUUGUUAGAAUGUGUUUGGCACCUCAUUCGAGUCCACCUGUGUAGGAUCGGACCCGAGAGACCGAGGAGGCCAUCAGUGUUAGCAGUUGCAGAGUCAGUCAGCGUCUGCUAGGAGGUGAGUAGAACUAAACUUAAUCUUUUAUGCACAAAAGCUAAUGCCUAAAGCAUGUUCAUGCAUCAUGAUUAUGUAUAGUAGGUUGAUUGCACUAGUUCACGAAUAUGUUGCAUUGCAUUAUUUUCAUGUUGAUGCUGAGGUAGGGUGGACCGAGGCGACUUCAAUAGCCCAUAUCUGUCACGAGUCUUGUCUUAGUCCUUUGAGAGCCGGACAAGUACAUGUAGGAAAGUCCAUGUGAGCUCUCUGUGGACCAGACACCAUGUCAUGUAUGUUACAGGCCUUUGUGAGCUCCUAUGGGGGAGCCGGGCACCGACAGAGGGAUUUUUGAUGUCAUGUCCAUCCUCUGAGAGGAAAGAUGCAUGCAAAAAGACAGACUCUCAGAAACCAGGGUCCGUGGGGAAUACAUAUUGCAUAAGCCCCGAGGCGGACAAGAUUAUGUGAUUUCUCUGUGUUAUGACGCAUUUCAUGAAAGCAUGUAAUUAAUGAAUGAUUUUUCUCUCUGUUUCUACUCACUGGGCUUUUUAGCUCACCCCUUUCCCCUAACCCCAGUGUUGCAGGUUUAAGUCAGAGUCCAGAGGCUGCAGGGUAAAGUCAAGGUUAAGAUAUGCAUGUUGUAAUAGCUUAGAUUAUGUUUAUGUUUAGUAUGUUAGAGUGGACAUGUAUUAUAAAUUCAUGUAAGAU